GUGUUUACAAUAUUCUCCAUUUGUUUUGAGUGAAUUGAUUAGUGCUGUUAAUUUGGAAAAGGUUGAAAUUUCAACAUGGAUCAACAAGCAUUAUGCAGUAUUUGUGACACAGUUUUGAUUAAUGACACCGACACUGUUGUUUCAGUGAAAGAGAGAGGAUUAAAAAAGUUGAUUGAGAAAAGCAUUGAGAA